rnacentral:rRNA from 1 species
AAAUCAAACGAGAUUCUAUGAUUAGUGUGAAUGAAAGUAGAGCAGCCUAUAAAAAUAUCAGAAUAUAUAUAUGAUGUAUAUAUAUAGUAAUCUUUUUUAAACAUAAAGAAAAAGUAGUAUUAGAAUAAAUUAUUUGGUUUUAAACCAAACAAAUAUUAGAUUGAUUUUUAUUAUAAUAUUACUAGUAUUAUCAUUACUUGGGUUAUAUCCAUCAGCAAAAAACAAAAGAUAAGAAUUUAGGGGUUCAAAAAACCCCUAAUAACAAAAAUCUUUGGGUUCAGAAAACCCAUAAAAUCGAGAUAUAUAAAAUAAAAUUAUCCACUGAUAUAUUAAAAAAGUAAAACGGGCAAAACCUGUUUGAAUAUAUAGGGGAACCUUCCUCUAAGGCUAAAUAUGAUAUAUGAGCGACAGCGUAUAGUUGUUUGAGAGAAAGGUUUGAAAUAGUAGUCUUAUAAGCAGCUCGAGUGAAAUUUUAUAAAUAAUAAGAGCGUACCUUUUGCAUAAUGGGUCAGCAAGUUAAUAUUAGAUGCGAGCAUGUGUAAAAUGUGCCCAGAUAAACCAAUUAUGAAAUAAUGAAUUAGUAUCUAAAAUUAGACCCGAAGCCUGGUGAUCUUACUACAGUCAGGGUUAUAAAAGCCCGAACGGUUUAUCGUUGUAAAGAUAUCCGAAGAACUGUGGUAAGUUAGUGAAAGACAAAACUGACUAGGAUAGCUGGUUUUCUGCGAAACC